rnacentral:lncRNA from 1 species
AGGAGUCUGUGCAGCUCAUGUUCUUGCAGGCACACAGAAGCUCGUUCUUGGUUACAGUGGCUGCAGUUGCUCCUGCUAACAAGUCUCAGCUGCCACUGCCUGGUUUUACAGUUGACAAAGGCUACUUGUGCACUGUUUAAUGGCUUCAAUAUAACAAGUUGGAGCAAUUGUUUCCUCAUCUUUAGUGUGCUGUCUAUUUUGUGAAAACAAACCCUUGUGAAUCUCCAUUGUGUAAAACUGUUUUAAAACAAAUCUAUUUUAAUUACGUGAACAUUUUCUUCCUUUAGUGUGUUUUUACUUCCCUUUUUUUUUUCUCUUUUUUUUUUUCUCCUCCUUUUACAUGCUACAGACCUCUCUUUCUAUCCAUCUUCAUGGGAACAUGGGAAAAAAAAAGCACUAUUUACUGCUCUGUGAUUAUGGCCCUAUAAAUAAGUGUAUCUUGAGAAUUAUCAGAUCUAAAUAGGAUUAGCAUGAUCUUUCUACUUAGUGGAUUAUUUUUAUAUAUUUUGUGUAUAAUUUAUUCUCACUCACAUCUAUAGGGCAAAUCAGCUCUUCUCAGCUUUUUCUCUGCUUCCCCUGCCUGCUGAAUGUCCUCUUGACACAGAAGCUUCAGAUAAAACCACAGACCAGGUUGAAUGUGAAAUGGGAUCUGUACAGUGAGCAAAACUGCUGGAUAAGUUGCUCUGAGGAGCUGCACUUGAAUGAGAGCUAUUAUGGGAGAGUGCUGCUCAAGACCUGCU